GCUUCUCCAAUGGUUCUUGGUAACUCGGAUAUUGAUCUUAUUCUCAGGAUGGAUUGGCUUUCUAAGCACAAGGCUCAGCUUGAUUGUGCAGCCAGGCAGAUUCAAUUGACUCAUUCGUCUGAGGAUGUAAUUGUCUUUGCCGCUCGGGAUAAUACCAUCCAUCUGUUUUCCCUCAAUGAGAAGGGUGGACUCGAUGCCAUCUCGCAAAUUCCAGUUGUUUGCGAAUAUCAAGACGUCUUUCCAGAAGAGCUUCCAGGAAUGCCUCCGCACCGGCCAGUUGAAUUCGUUAUUGAUCUUGAGCCCGGUACGGAACCUGUUUGCAAGCGUCCUUACAAGCUCGGACCUGAAGAGUUGAAGGAGCUGAAGAAGAAACUCGAUAUUCAAGAGAAAAUGGGUCUCAUUCGGCCUAGUUCUUCUCCGUGGGGUUGUGGUGUUCUUUUUGUGAAGAAGAAGGGUGGAAUGGACCGACUUUGUGUUGAUUACCGUCCAUUGAACAAGAAGACCAUCAAGAACAAAUACCCACUUCCCAACAUCAAUGAGCUAUUCGAACAACUCAAAGGUGCCCAAGUAUUCUCCAAGCUUGAUAUCCGUAUGGGUUAUCAUCAGAUUCGAAUCCGUGAGCAAGAUAUUCCCAAGACGGCUUUCAGGACAAGCUUUGGUUCAUAUGAAUACACUGUCAUGUCUUUUGGCCUCGUCAACGCUCCUCCGACGUUCUCUCGCAUGAUGAACUUCAUCUUCAACGCCUACACCAAUGACUUCAUUUUGGUCUAUCUCGACGACAUUCUGGUUUUCUCAAAGAACAAGGAAGAGCAUGCCAAGCACUUGCAUUUGGUACUCGAUAAGCUCAGGGAACAUCAGUUCUACGCCAAGUUCUCCAAGUGUGAAUUUUGGCUCGAUCAGGUUCUUUAUCUUGGUCAUAUCAUCUCUGACAAGGGCAUUGCCGUGAAUCCUGAGAAGGUGUCUGCAAUUGUGAAUUGGGAACCUCCUCAUAACGUGAAGCAACUCCGUAGCUUCCUCGGUCUCACAAGCUAUUGCCGAAGAUUCAUUGAAAACUUUUCUAAG
rnacentral:rRNA from 1 species